rnacentral:ribozyme from 2 species
ACGUAGACUAAGGCCAAGAGAAUAGUACGACAGAGUUGACAAGCUAUGUGCUUACCUAAGACAAGAUUCACAUAACCUGUGCCUAGAGAAAGAUCUGGGUUGAGUCUGGGAACUCUGCCAACAAUAGCUAA